UCGCUUCGUGGAGAAACCACGAAUCCAAGCUUCUCCACCAUCGAAACCAUUUGAAAUAAGAAGACAUGGAUUUCCUCUUUUAUUCAAAGACAUAGAACCAAUCGUUGAUAUAAUUAGAAAUAAUGAUGUUGAAGGAUUGAAAAUCUUACUUGAGGAGAAGCCAGGCGACAUUAAUAAACGUUUUGGUAUAUUUGGACAAACUCCUUUAAUAAUUGCCUCUAAAGUGGGCGCCGAUAGAAGAAUCAUCGACAUUUUGAUAGACGCAGGAAGCCAAAUUGGAGCGAAAGACUCAAAUGGUUGUACAGCUUUGCAUUUGGCUGUGAAUUGGUAAGUUGAGAAUCAAGUAAAAUCUGCAGAUGUGUUUUUGUUUGUAAAUUUGUUGCAAUUGCAGACACAGGUUCAAUAUCCAAACAGGCCAGAGUUGUGGGACAACAGCAAAACAGCAGACUAGCAAACAACAACAACAACAAGCUUCUCUUUAGUCAUCGAUCCAAUUCAUUAGUCAUUAUUCAAUCAUAACAAUCCCGAUGAUGAUGAUGAUAACGGCGAUGAUGAUGACGAUGACGGUAUUGAUGAUGUCGAUCAUGAUGAUGGUGUUGUUGAUGAUGUUGAUGAUGAUGAUGGAGGUGGUGAUGGUGAUGAUGAUAAG